UACGAAGGGGGCUAGCGUUGCUCGGAAUCACUGGGCGUAAAGCGCACGUAGGCGGACUCUUAAGUCGGUGGUGAAAUCCUGGAGCUCAACUCCAGAACUGCCUUCGAUACUGAGAGUCUCGAGUUCGGGAGAGGUGAGUGGAAUUCCUGGUGUAGCGGUGAAAUGCGCAGAUAUCAGGAAGAACACCCGUGGCGAAGGCGGCUCUCUGGGACGGUACUGACGCUGAGACGCGAAAGCGUGGGAGCGAACAGG
rnacentral:rRNA from 1 species